GACGAACGCUGGCGGCGUGCUUAACACAUGCAAGUCGAACGGAAAGGCCCUGCUUUUGUGGGGUGCUCGAGUGGCGAACGGGUGAGUAACACGUGAGUAACCUGCCCUUGACUUUGGGAUAACUUCAGGAAACUGGGGCUAAUACCGGAUAGGAGCUCCUGCUGCAUGGUGGGGGUUGGAAAGUUUCGGCGGUUGGGGAUGGACUCGCGGCUUAUCAGCUUGUUGGUGGGGUAGUGGCUUACCAAGGCUUUGACAGGUAGCCGGCCUGAGAGGGUGACCGGCCACAUUGGGACUGAGAUACGGCCCAGACUCCUACGGGAGGCAGCAGUGGGGAAUAUUGCACAAUGGGCGGAAGCCUGAUGCAGCAACGCCGCGUGCGGGAUGACGGCCUUCGGGUUGUAAACCGCUUUCGCCUGUGACGAAGCGUGAGUGACGGUAACGGGUAAAGAAGCACCGGCUAACUACGUG
rnacentral:rRNA from 1 species